AGGACGAACGCUGGCGGCGUGCUUAACACAUGCAAGUCGAGCGGAAAGGCCCUUCGGGGUACUCGAGCGGCGAACGGGUGAGUAACACGUGAGCAACCUGCCCCUGGCUCUGGGAUAGCCUCCGGAAACGGGGAUUAAUACCGGACAUUCACUGCCUGCCGCAUGGCAGGUGGUGGAAAGUUUUUCGGCCAGGGAGGGGCUCGCGGUCUAUCAGCUUGUUGGCGGGGUAACGGCCCACCAAGGCGACGACGGAUAGUCGGCCUGAGAGGGCGAUCGGCCACACUGGGACUGAGACACGGCCCAGACUCCUACGGGAGGCAGCAGUGGGGAAUAUUGCACAAUGGGCGCAAGCCUGAUGCAGCGACGCCGCGUGGGGGAUGAAGGCCUUCGGGUUGUAAACCCCUUUCACCAGGAGCGAAUUCAGACGGUACCUGGGGAAGAGCGCCGGCUAACUACGUGCCAGCAGCCGC
rnacentral:rRNA from 1 species